ensembl:lncRNA
GCUGGCAGCGGAUGACGAAAGCAUCUGCCCAAUGUCGACCAGUCAACAAGCAGACCGGUUUUCCAGGUUAAAGCUGGGUUUAUGGUCCAGCGCAGCUAGCGCUGUUCGCACCGCUGAGUGCAGUGAGCUCUGUUGCCAGAUGGAGGCAAUGCACAAAGUAUGCAGUACAACAGGUCUGUUUUACUGUGCUUGUGCUUUUCCUGGUCUGUCAGCCGGCCGAGGAGAAAAAGGGUAUUAUACAAAUAUAUAUACAAAUAUAUACAAAUCAUUUACAGCUUUGGUUUUUGCCUUUUUGCAAGUAUUCCAUAUGAUUUGACUAAAAUAAAGACCUCUGUGGAAAAAGAAGGUUUCCAUGUCCAGUUCAUGCAAAUACAUGUUGUAGUUAUCUUCAUAUGACGAUGCAAAAUACUGGCACCUGUGUGUCCACUGACAUGAAAUCACAAGCUGAUAUUUUCCUCCUAAAACCACAAAGAAACUCAUCAGACUCGAGAUGAGCAGGAAACAUCAACACCUGCUACCUGUCACCAGUUUAUUACACAGUUUAACACAGCUUCCCGCUUAACUGGCACAUUAAUUUGCUCGAACAAAAAGCUGAAUGUGAAAAUAUUUGUCAUCAACAUAGUUCGCGUUGCUAUUUGAAGAUACUAUCAGCACCUAUAUGCACAUGUAUACACUUAAGACGAUGUUAAUUCCUUUUUUCCGCCAGGUCUGUGAUCUAAUCUAUUCAAAAAAUGGACAAAUCUGCAACAUCUGGAGAGCGUAAAAUGUAAGCAAAUCUAACCAGUUGAAAAAAAAAAUCUGUUAACCUGGAAAAACGGGUUAGAGCAGCGACUGAGUUUAGCGGGAACGCGAUAACCGGGAGGGAAAAAAGAAAAGAAAACUUCAAAAGGUUAAAAACGGCAUGAAAAGCACGGACGGUGGUUACCGUGUCCACUCUUCAUUGCUUUUAACACUCAGCUUCACUUCAGCUCUUUGUAUGUGAGAACUUCGUUCUUCUCCGCCGCUGGAUCGACAACAGCACCAGCACGCCUGGAUAGCUUUGAGGGGUCGUGCCGGAGUGAAAUCACUCCGCGGCUCAUUUCCAAAUGAUACACAUGUUGGCUCUGAACACCUUUUUUUUUUUUUUUUUUUUUUUUUUUGAGAAAAACGUGUCAGCGCGGGGGGGUGGCCAUAAAUCCGCUUUUGGCGCAGCUAUCGGUGCGUAAUUGUCCCCACAGAGGAGCGGUGAGGAUCACAGAGAGAGAAAAACGGAACAUUGGCACAAUAGAAACAAACAUGAUCGUCUACAAAUGUCCGCUUGUGACACAUCGACCCCCCUUUUUCCCUUUUAAACAGCACAUCAGACACGUCCACUGCUGCGCUACUACGGGGAUUAACGCCGCCAUGUAAGGAUAGGGAUGCUGCUAUUACACCGUUACCGACCUUUGUUAUCUCCGGAGCUGUGAUGUGAUGUGACGGUGGUAGCGGUGAUUUCUCCCCUCAGGCGGACUGCGUGUCCCGGCCAGCCGGCUGCCUCCUGUCCCCUCUCCUCCUUCUUUCUUCUUUUUCCGUUAUUUUAUUUUAAAUUUAUUUGUUCGGUUUAUUGGAGGACCUCCCGCUCCUCCUGCUCGCCUUCACUCUUGGCUCUCUUCGGCACUGUUUGGGGCUUGUUCAGGUGAAGCAGUCAGUGAGGCUGCAGAUCUGCUGUCUGUCAAGAGAACGGUCCUCGCGAGCGACUCCUCGUGCUACAUAACGAGAGGCGUUUGCCUCUCUCUCUCUCCCCUCUCUCUCUCUCUCUGCGCGUGUGUUCGUGACGCGCGGAGAACGCUGUGCGGCGGCUCGCGCGCUCACAGCAAGC